ensembl:lncRNA
GUUGCACGGAGCGCCGCUGCAGGCCCGUCUCCCGGCAGCACUUGCAGAAGCGAGCGUAGGUGUUGAUGUUGUAGUUGUAGAUGCUGGCGGACGGACACUUCCCGUCACAUGACACAAUGUUCACCUGGCAGACUUUUCUCCAGGACGUACCGGCCUGUUGCUGCGACGAUCGUUCUUCCUGAUGGUCAUCCUCACCGUGACCUUCUGACAAGACUUCCCGUCUUCUUUGCCUGUUCACCCGACAACGGACCACAUCAGUUAACGU